UACGUAGGGUGCGAGCGUUAAUCGGAAUUACUGGGCGUAAAGCGUGCGCAGGCGGUUUUGUAAGCCAGAUGUGAAAUCCCCGGGCUCAACCUGGGAAUUGCAGUCGAGACUGUUCGGCUAGAGUGUGGGAGAGGGUGGUGGAAUUCCCGGUGUAGCGGUGAAAUGCGUAGAUAUCGGGAGGAACAUCAGUGGCGAAGGCGACCACCUGGCCCAACACUGACAGCUGAGGUGCGAAAGCGUGGGUAGCAAACAGG
rnacentral:rRNA from 1 species